GACGUAGGGCGCGAGCGUUGUCCGGAUUUAUUGGGCGUAAAGAGCUCGUAGGCGGCUUGUCGCGUCGUGUGUGAAAUCUCAGGGCUCAACUCUGACAUUGCAUACGAUACGGGCAGGCUUGAGUUCGGUAGGGGAGACUGGAAUUCCUGGUGUAGCGGUGAAAUGCGUAGAUAUUGGGAGGAACACCAGUGGCGAAGGCGGCUCACUGGACCGGAACUGACGCUGAGGCGCGAAAGCGUGGGGAGCAAACGGG
rnacentral:rRNA from 1 species